UACGUAGGCAGCGAGCGUUGUUCGGAUUUACUGGGCGUAAAGGGUGUGUAGGCGGCUUGUUAAGUUCCGUGUGAAAUCCCCAGGCUUAACCUGGGAAGUGCGCGGAAAACUGGCGAGCUUGAGUGCCGGAGAGGGUCGCGGAAUUCCCGGUGUAGAGGUGAAAUUCGUAGAUAUCGGGAGGAACACCAGUGGCGAAGGCGGCGACCUGGACGGACACUGACGCUGAGACGCGAAAGCGUGGGGAGCAAACAGG
rnacentral:rRNA from 1 species